GCUCAAGAAUGCCGUGGGAAA
rnacentral:miRNA from 1 species